rnacentral:lncRNA from 1 species
AUGAUGCAAUUUAAUGGCGAAAGUAAAGCUCUUCUUAUAUUUUUCGCCAUCGGUCAUAUCAAUCUUUCCAAUGACCUCUACUCAAGAAUACCUAGUUGCUGCCAUCUUCAAUUGAUAUGUUCUCUAAAAUUUGCAGUAAUCUCAUCUGAAGAGAUUUGGAUUCAACACCGUCACACAGGACUGAAGUCUAGCACGAUCCUUGGUGUAUCCCGCUGUCCAUUUCGCUCAGUACCCGUUACAUGUUUAUUCCGUGUGCAAGCAGGCUUUGCACCCCUCUCAGCUCUUGAAACACUGUUCCAGAAACUCCUAAGACAGGUGGCCAACAGUCCCACCGUUAUAGAGCAGCUGCUGCUGGGUAAGCAUUUUCCUUUUUGAAUCUUGGUCCAAAACUAUCAUCAUAUGUUCAUUUUUUAAUUUGGAGCCGUCAUUAUCGACUUAACUGGCCAGUAGUGAGUCAGAUAUCCUUCAUUCUCAGGGUCUACUUUAGCUAUUCUCAACUACUCCAUCAAUUCCUUUAAUCACUUCAUGUCACUUUGAAAUGUUGUUAAAUAUCUUGGACGUUUCAUAAUUUUUUUCAGAAAAUUUAUAGGAACAUUAGCUCAAAAAUCUUUAUUUUUAAAUGAUUAGCGAUAGAAGCAGAUUCCAAGACACCACUAACCUGGUCACAUAAAUGCAUUGCUUUCUUAUGGCAUCCAAAUAUAGGCCUACUCAAGUGAGUUGAAAAUGUCACUUUUAACAUCGGGAAGUCAUGUACUUAGUGUCCACCCACAUUUUCCUGGCAGUGUGGCCAAACGUUUCUUAAUUCGAAACUAUUGGACAUUUAUUUCGCUGUUUUUGCAAACAUGUUGCGAAAGUUCCAAAAAAAUUUUAAAAAAUUGGCAAAGAGUCGCUUGCUGAGGUAGCGAAAUAACGCUUGCUCUCUUCUAGUGUUGCCUCAGUGUAGAGGUUUAGAGCAUCGCGGUUUAGCUGAGAGAUCUGGUGUUUAAUCAUCAGGGAUAUUACAUAAUUUGUAUUUUUUCCUGUGACUGUUAUUUUGAUUUGUCUCUUACUUUCUUCUAAAAUGAUCCAUGAUUAUUUAUAAUAUUGGUAAUUAUUCAUCUAAUAACAAUGCUUUCAAAAAAUAAAAGUGACGAACCUUUUAGAAAUUUUUCCUCUGAAUUUCGAAAUUCUGAUUAUGAUCAUAUAUUACAGUGAUGCCAAUUUUGUUAAAUGAGCACUGUUUAACUUUCCAAGUGCUCAUAGUACUUUCCUUAUGAUAUUUUUGAUUUUCCGAAACAACUAGUUUUCACCCAUGUGCAAAUGUCCCCUUCCCUUCCAAGGAAAGAUUUGCUGUCCAAAAGAUUGCUCACUUCUUAUUUUCUUGAAAGCAGCAUUAUUACUUAGAUCAAUAAAAGGAGGCAACAAAAUUUUGAGUUGAAUUCGCAAAUGGGACAGGACCUAUUUAUUUCCAUUCACGGGCGCCUACUGAUUGCGAAAAUCUAUGUGAAAAUAGUAACUUAGUUCCAAAUUUUGAUUUGUUUAGGCUUUUACGUUUUCACCUUACAAAUCCAAAAAAUUUCGAAGAGAUUUGGCAAAAUAAUUGUUUGCUACUCAUUUAUGCCUUCAAUAGAGCCAUGUCAAAAAGAAAAGAAGAGACUAGCCCUGUUGGAAGACGGUUUUUAAUAUUGAACAGUAAAACAGAGUUCUGAAGCACUAAUCCUUGUGAUAUACUAAAAAAUGAAACUUUUUGAAAAAAAUUCCUUUAGUUUCAAAAGUAACCAUUUUCAUUUGUUAGUACUUAUUUUUGUAUUUAGAAGACCUUCCUGAAAGAGGAGAACCGAGUCUAAAGUCGAUUGAAAACAUUUACGGAGAAUAACAAUGCAUCGUCAUGAAAACGUUAUCAAAUUUCGGAAAUUGACCCUGGCAAACAUAGUAAACCCUACAUAUUUUGAAAUUGAGAACUGCGUUAAUUUUUUAAUGUUGAUUUUCGUGAUCAGUAGACGCCUCUGAGUGGAAAAAAUAGAUCCUGUCCCAUCAGCAAAUUGAACUCAAAAUUUUGUUGGCUAGUAUAAUUAUCAAAAUAAUAAUUAAUCAUCGUUUUUUUUAUGAACAUCAGAUAAGAUAUGGGUCCGUAUGCAGUUAGAAGAAAGUAAGAGAAGAAUCAAAGAAAACCAGUGACCGUAACAAUUAAAAUUUACGUGAUGUUUCGGGGGAUCAAAUUCUGGACCUCCUGUCGCUGUCAGGAGCUCGGUGCUCUGAGCGACCUUAUUAUGGCAGCGCUUGAUUAGCGUGUGCAUUACUUUGCUGUUUUAGCAAGCGAUUUUUUUGCCAAUUUUAUUAAUUUCUUUGUUUUGUUUGGAAUUUACGGGCCCAUUCGCGAAAUCGGCAGAAUAGGUGUUCAGUCGUUUUUCAUGAAGAAAGUUUUUGCUAGACUCCGAUCAAAAUCUUAGUGGGAUCUAGGUGACCUCUCCUUGCAAGUCAAAGGAUAGCCGUGCGGAUCAUCAACAAAAAACUCCUUCGAUUUUUCACCUUAAGUUUAUAACCAUGACAUUUGUUUCUCUCUAGCAGUUUUAAACUACUGUAAAGGACCCAGUAAAGAAUGAUUUUAAUCAAACCAUCCAUGAUUAAAUUUGAAUAGGAUGUACUCACUCGGAACACUUGCAUUACAAGUCUAGAUCAUGUAAAAAGCAAAGUAAAUAUACACUCAAAAGCACCGAAAGAAGUUGAUGAGAAAUAACCAAUUGAAUGCCGUCCUUCUGUGGGUGAGGGAAUUUAUCGUCUAGAGUCUGUUUUUCUUUCUUCUUUUUUUUUUUUGUUAAAGAAUAGGUGAAGAAUGGGAGGAAGGCAAAAUUUAAUUUCUAAAACUCAUCAAUUUUCACAACUCCAUUUUGUGUAACUAUUUUAAUUUACACCUUGGUAACUCUGAACUUUUGUCAUCCAUUCGUGACUCCAAGAAAGGUUAAACAUUGUAUCAAAUACAAGCAUUUUGGCUUGUAUUGAGUUACAAAUGUAACUCUAACUCAAUCAUCUGGAGACAUGUUUCAACUAAAUUGGCGCGAGAUGUAGACCUUCUCUUCUGUGUUGGUCGCAGCCUUGAUUUACUUAAU